UCAUUAGAAAAAUUGACUAAAAUGAUCACUCAAUUGUUAAACUGUUAACAGAUUGCUGAUUGAACCUGAAAAAAAAAUUAUUCUUUUAGUCCCUUUAAAAAUUACAAAAAAUUUAAAUUAAUUCCUUAACUUCCCAUAAAAAAAACCCAUAUUAAACAACAUCAAAAAAUGCUAGAUUCAAUCUCCCAUAUGCUUCCUCCACCGUCUUCCCCCACCA
rnacentral:lncRNA from 1 species